rnacentral:rRNA from 1 species
AACGAACGCUGGCGGCAUGCCUAACACAUGCAAGUCGAACGAGACCUUCGGGUCUAGUGGCGCACGGGUGCGUAACGCGUGGGAAUCUGCCUAAAGGUUCGGAAUAACAGUUAGAAAUGACUGCUAAUACCGGAUGAUGUCUUCGGACCAAAGAUUUAUCGCCUUUAGAUGAGCCCGCGUAGGAUUAGCUUGUUGGUGGGGGAAAGGCCUACCAAGGCGACGAUCCUUAGCUGGGCUGAGAGGGUGAUCAGCCACACUGGGACUGAGACACGGCCCAGACUGCUACGGGAGGCAGCAGGGGGGAAUAUUGGACAAUGGGCGAAAGCCUGAUCCAGCAAUGCCGCGUGAGUGAUGAAGGCCUUAGGGUUGUAAAGCUCUUUUCCCCGGGAUGAUAAUGACAGUACCGGGAGAAUAAGCCCCGGCUAACUCCGUGCCAGCCGCCGCCGUAA